UACGGGGGGGUGCGAGCGUUGUCCGGAAUCACUGGGCGUAAAGGGCGCGUAGGCGGCGCGGGAAGUCAUCGGUGAAAGUUCAGGGCUCAACUCUGAAUCGGCCGGUGAUACUCUCGUGCUUGAGCACUGUAGAGGCAGGUGGAAUUCCGGGUGUAGCGGUGGAAUGCGUAGAGAUCCGGAAGAACACCGGUGGCGAAGGCGGCCUGCUGGGCAGUAGCUGACGCUGAUGCGCGACAGCGUGGGGAGCAAACAGG
rnacentral:rRNA from 1 species